CCAUCGGUGGUUCAGUGGUAGAAUGCUCGCCUGCCACACGGGCGGCCCGGGUUCGAUUCCCCGCCGAUGCA